CCUACGGGUGGCAGCAGUGGGGGAUAUUGCACAAUGGGGGGAACCCUGAUGCAGCGACGCCGCGUGGGUGAAGGAGUGCUUCGGCAUGUAAAGCCCUAUCGGCAGGGAAGAAGCAAGACGGUACCUGACUAAGAAGCCCCGGCUAACUACGUGCCAGCAGCCGCGGUAAUACGUAGGAGGCGAGCGUUAUCCGGAUUCACUGGGUGUAAAGGGAGCGUAGACGGUCAUGCAAGCCAGGGGGGAAAGCCCGGGGCCCAACCCCGGGACUGCCCUUGAAACUGGGCGGCUAGAGUGCGGGAGGGGCAGGCGGAAUGCCUGGUGUAGCGGUGAAAUGCGUAGAUAUCAGGAGGAACACCGGCGGCGAAGGCGGCCUGCUGGACUGCGACUGACGUUGAGGCUCGAAAGCGUGGGGAGCGAACAGGAUUAGAUACCCUUGUAGUC
rnacentral:rRNA from 1 species